UACGUAGGGGGCUAGCGUUGUCCGGAAUCAUUGGGCGUAAAGAGCGUGUAGGCGGUCCGGUAAGUCCGCUGUGAAAGUCGGGGGGCUCAACCCUCGAAUGCCGGUGGAUACUGUCGGGCUAGAGUGCGGAAGAGGCGAGUGGAAUUCCUGGUGUAGCGGUGAAAUGCGCCAGAUAUCAGGAGGAACACCUAUUGCGAAGGCAGCUCGCUGGGACGUAACUGACGCUGAGACGCGAAAGCGUGGGGAGCAAACA
rnacentral:rRNA from 1 species